rnacentral:tRNA from 1 species
GCAGGCGUGAUUGCAAUUGGCAGACAUGGCGUUUUCAAACAUCGCUUUUUUGUGAGUUCGAAUCUCACCGCCUGUACCA